rnacentral:rRNA from 1 species
GGUUAAGCGACUAAGCGUACACGGUGGAUGCCCUGGCAGUCAGAGGCGAUGAAGGACGUGCUAAUCUGCGAAAAGCGUCGGUAAGGUGAUAUGAACCGUUAUAACCGGCGAUGUCCGAAUGGGGAAACCCAGUGCAAUUCGUUGCACUAUCGUUAACUGAAUACAUAGGUUAACGAGGCGAACCGGGGGAACUGAAACAUCUAAGUACCCCGAGGAAAAGAAAUCAACCGAGAUU